CUCUCCUCUUCUGUGACAUCCAAUAAAAUUGGAACGAUACAAAGUAGAUAAGCAUAGUCCCUGCGCAAGGAUGACAUUCACAAAAUUGAGAAAAGGUCUCCUCCUUU